AAGCAACGUGUUUCUGGGCCUUUCUGGGCCUGUUGUUCACCUUUGAUACAUUAUAGUAUCUUUUAGGUAAGAGUUAGUUUUCACUGACUUCCCUUUAUGAAAAAUUGUCAUCAGUAAUAAUUUGAGCAUCCGGUUUUGACAGGCUGGACUCUUGAGGAAUAGGUUAACAGCAAUGUUCAUAACAGUGCUUCAUGGAGAAAACAAAGCUGACAUUUUUAACAUUCACUGUAAAACCCAGCUUCUCUUAGAUGCCAUCAAGCACCGCUGUGACUGUGAGGAAGAAGAUGAAAUAGAGUUGGCAGAUGAGAAUGGCCAAAUAAAGAAUUUACUUCAGAACAAACACUGCACUGCAGCUGACCUUCUUGGAGAACGCGAAACCUACGUGCUCAUUAGUGUGGAGAGAGGUGAAAAACCUUCACAGAUAGAAUUUACUCCUCUACUGAAAGAUGACAAUAUUAUAAAUCCCAAGUUCCUAGCUAAACUAGGGAACUGGCAAGAACGCAAAGUCCCCUCUCCCAGGAUGAAAUCUAGAAGGCCGCACAAAAAAGCCGUUUUGGAUAUCACAACCACCGAAGGCUUACGAAAUCAUUCUCCUCAUAGCAGUCGAGCAAGGACACCCAUUGCUUCUCCAAAACAAAGCAGGAAAUUCUGAUUUUCUGUUGGACUUCAGGUCAUAGGCACUGCUUAUUUUGCAGAGGGGCUGCAAUUUUAUUGGCUCAUACCUGGGAGUUAGCUGCAGGGAACAGAAGGAGCCUUGAUUAUGGGUUAGAAAAGAAGACAUCCAUGCUGUAUUCCAGAAUAUCGAAAUAUAGUGGAAUAAGUAAAUGAUGUCAGAAUGCAGCCUAAGAGAAAGUGGGUGGGGGCAUUGGUAUCCACAAGGGGUGUUAUGUAUGCCUUUGGGAGCUAAAUUUGGAGACUGUUGUUUCCCUAUUUUUUUCCUAGAGGUGAUGGGUUUUGUUUUUGGCUACUUCAGAACUUUGACACUUUUUUAGUUUGAGUUCGUUUUUCCCAAACACCUUUUGUCUAUUAUUGUCUUUCCAAAUGGCUCUUUGAUCCAGGAAAGGGGCAGCUUGCUUCUGAUGCAAGACCACAAGAGUUACCAGCCAGAAGAUGGAACUGACUUCCAAGGGUCUCAAACACUCUCAGAAAUCACAGGAAGACCUGUGCCCCAACUCAGAUGUGACCAAAGUCAAUAGUGAAAUAACUCAGAAAUGCCAGCAAUGUCGUAAAUCAGUAUCGCCACAGCUCAGAAGUACAAGAGCCUGCAGGUUUCUGCAUUACAGGGCAGUGUAACAAGAUCAGGCCUACUUUAAAAAAGAAGAAAAAUCUUCCAGNCCAACUGCAGAUGGAAAAGAUACUCCCUAAAAGCCGCCUUGAUCAGUUUCUUCAGAGGAAAGUAGAAAUGCAAAGUAUCCCCUGACGGUUNCGUUCUGAUAAAAUCACUCAGACCCAUUUACACUGCUUUUCUACAAGUUAACCUUGAGGCCCACAUGUAAGAGAGCAUAUAUUGCAACUCCACCCAGAUUUUCUGAGUGGAAAAAAUGUAUCAUUUUUUAAAAGUUACCUCCUUCCACUAUGUGGACAGGUACACCUGGACUCUGGUUUGUGUAGGGAAGGAAAGGACUGUAUUUGGAAGAGAAUGCCUUUCCCUAUAGCAAACUGGAAGCAGAAGCCCUAUGGAUCAAUAAUCAGUUCUCUGCAGGAAAACACUCUCUUCCCAGUAAUGCUUCUCCCCUCCCUGCAUGAACUGGAGUUCAGGAGUAUCUGCAUUCACCAGAGGGGUCAGGUUACCUUCAAAAGGAAAGAUUUUCUGCUCCCUCAUGUGGAAUGGUAGCUAUCUCAUAUCCUUAGCUGAGUGCACAUUUUUUAUUGGUAGUGGUGAUCAGAAGAAUUGACUUCAAGUGGAUUUGGCAAACCCCUAGUUUACCAGCUGACUUUAUGCCUACAUUGGCAGAAUUAUGAGCAUAUGUUAGCUUUCNCCCUUUCCUAGAACUCAGCCACCCUUGUUAGCUUUUGUUACAGAUGCAGCCUUUCCUCUGUGUUGUGAUUAAUCUUUGCAUGUGCUGCUGGGAACUGCUAGAUGUUUUGAGAACUCAAGACCAUAGGGGAGGUGAUCUUGGUAUGAGUUGUCGGAGCUAGGUGGAAAUAGGAUGUUUGAUAUAUACUCUGUNUUGAAUAAUACACUUUGUGAUUGUUUAUUAAAUAAAGCUGAUAAGCA
ensembl:lncRNA